GUGUUCACUUUUGCAGCACUUAUAUUAAAACUGGAAUGAUACAGAGAUGAUUGGCAUGGCCCCUACACAAGAAUGGCAUGCAUAAGCCGGGCGGUGGUGGCGCACGCCUUU